UGGCGUUGGUGAAGAUUGAAACUAUUUCUUUGUGAAUGUUUCACAUGAAUCGGGUAUUAAUCAUAAGCCAACCACAAAUUUCGAUUUGAUUUCCUUUCUUCUUGGCAUAAUAUACUUGUUUUAUCCUGCAGAUCCACAAAUGAAGAAGAUGAAUCAGUCAAUUUGCUUGAUCACGAAAGAUUUCCGAUAAAAAAUAAUUUCCAACUUUUUAGAUGGAUAAUAAACAGAUUUCCGAGGUAAUUGUUUUGAUUGAUUAUGCAUGUCAAUUUGAAAUUUUUAGAAAGAGUUCUGAGGUAAACGUUUGGUUGAUUAUUCAUGUCAAUUUGAAAAUUUUAGAAAGAUUUCCGAGGUAAUCGUUUUGAUUGGUUAUGCAUGUCAAGUUUUUUUUCACCUUCGUUUAAAUUCGUAUGUCCAGAAGAAGAAGUUCUUUGGUGUCUCUUUGCUCACGAUUGAAUAAUAUAUGUUUAUGCUUGUAUAAUCUAUGUUCCUUAAUUUUGAGCCUCUUAUGAUUUAUACUAAAUUUUCAUUUCAGACAAAUUAGUGUAUGAAUAAUUUGAUUUAUCUGAUAUAAAGCAGAAAAUGACAUCUGUUCUUUAAUCUGAUAUAAUGUGGCGUGUGCAUUGUAGCAAAGGAGUAUUGUUUUUUCUCGGUGUGUUGAGACUUUUUUUGCUUAGAAUCUUAGAAUAAAUCCUGCAAGCAAAUUUAAUAAUAAAGUUUAUGACAGUGAUUUAAGUGAUUUGUGUUUUCUUUUUGCUCACUUGAAGCAGCUUUUUUUCUGUUCUGGAUGUUGCGCCACACUCCAACCGGAAGAAGCCUUUCUUUACUCUCAAUGUACUCUCAAU
rnacentral:lncRNA from 1 species